UUUCCAUUUUAAAUCCUAUGGUCUGGCUGGGCACGUUGGGUCGUACCUGUAAUCCCAGCACUCUGGGAGGUGGAGGCAAGCAGAUCACCUGAGGCCAGG